GGUCCAGGAGAACACAGAGUCACACAGUUUUUCAUCUCUCUUUUCACGGUCUCCACAGACAGACUGAAGAUGUCUGGAGUUUUCACCACUGUUAAUGUUUUUCCUCUCCACUCUCCAUUGGCCACCACACAGCGUUUGACUGAGGAAAAUAUCUGAUUUCAGUGGCGUCUACUCACCAGAUUUCAGUGGCGUCUACUCACCAGGUGAGAUCCUCUCUGCUGCCGAGCACGUCGGUGAAACUCCAAACUGAAGUCAGACUCUCCUUAAACAACCUUUCCUUUCUGAGCGGGUGGGACUCUGGACUCGGUACUCUUAGUACAGAACUUUAUAUCUUAACAACUGAAUUGU